rnacentral:lncRNA from 1 species
GCUAUAGCCUUGGGGGGUGGGGCUGGCCAACUUCGUCCGCCGGACUCGGAAUGCCGCGAGACUUUGCGAGGGGCCUCCGUGUGCCAAAAAUAGGCCGCAGGCAAAGCCGAAUCCAAAAAUAACUGCCCGAAGGCAGGGGCGCCAAGUUCGUGCAGCGGAAAAAGGCCACAAAAACGGGUGGCUAUAGCCUUGGGGGGUGGAACUGGCCCACUUCGUCCGCCUAACUCGGAGUGCCGUGAGACUUUGCGAGGGGCCUCAGUGUGCCAAAAAUAGGCCGUGGGCAAAGCCGGGCCCAAAAAUAACCGCCCGAAGGCCGGGGCGACAAAUUAGUCCAGCGGAAAAAGGCCACAAAAACGGGUGGGCUAUAGCCUUGGGGGAUCGGGCUGGCCAACUUCGUCCGCCGGACUCUUAAUGCCGUGAGACUUUGCGAGGGGCCUCCGUGUGCCAAAAACAGUCCGUGGGCAAAACCGCAUCCAAAAAUAACCGCCCGAAGGCCGGGGCGCCAAGUUCGUCCAGCGGAAAAAGGCCACAAAAACGGGUGGGCUAUAGCCUUGGGGGGUGGGGCUGGCCAACUUCGUCCGCCGGACUCAGAAUGCCGCGAGAUUUUGCGAGGGGCCUCCGUGUGCCAAAAAUAGGCCGCGGACAAAGCCGGGCCCAAAAAUAACCGCCCGAAGGCCGGGGCGCCAAGUUCGUCCGGCGGAAAAAUGCCACAAAAACGGGUGGGCUAUAGCCUUGGGGGUUGGGGCUGGCCAACAUCGUCCGCCGGACUCGGAAUGCCGCGAGCCU